rnacentral:lncRNA from 1 species
GUGGCAUUUAUCAUUUUCCCAAGAUAUUCAUUGUCUUAUUUGGCUCAAGAAAGGACACAUGAAAUAUAAGAUGGAUCUUCAUAGAUUCUAAUAGAUAUAAUCAAUAAGCAUCAAGAUUGAUUUAUUCUUAAAUAGGAAAAGGACGUAGUCCACAAUAGUCUCACUUAUCACAAGGAUGAGUUAUCUUAAUAUUGCAAUGAAAUAACCAUACUUAAUUAUCUAUGUUGAAUUGUGGUUGUUCCUUAAAAUAGGCAUAUAUAUUGGUUUUUUGUUAUUCUUAAGCUUCAUUUAACUAAGUUUUUAUUAUUACAUGUAGCUAUAAUAAAUAAUUUGCUAAAUCUUCUGUUGAAUGAUUCUCAACUUUUAAAAAGUCAAAAAUAUCAAAUC